rnacentral:misc_RNA from 1 species
GAGAGUUAGUUUAAGGAUCAAUAUAGAUGUGUAAGUACAGUACUUUAGUUUAAGAAUCAAUAUUUAUGUGCAAGUAUGUUACUUUCUUAUUGAUUCAAGUUGAAUUAUUAUUUAUGAGUAUGUAUUUGCAUUUCUUUUUUGUUAAUUUCUUAUUAGAGAUAAUUCAAAAUUUAUAUGAAUUUGACUCUUGUUCUCUUUUUCUUCUUAAUAGGAAUAUGG